rnacentral:sRNA from 1 species
CUGAUAUUCUUAGGGUGAAGGUGAGAAUCUUCGAUCAAAGUUCACGUCUCGCUACGCGAGACAACGAUGCGCAGCAAGGCCCGUAGUGCGGCCGCAAGGUAGCGAAUCAUUCUUUCCCCCUCCCUUA